rnacentral:rRNA from 1 species
UGGGGAAUCUUCCGCAAUGGACGAAAGUCUGACGGAGCAACGCCGCGUGUAUGAUGAAGGUCUUCGGAUUGUAAAGUACUGUCAUUGGGGAAGAACGGUUUUCUUGAAAAGAUUGAGAAGACAUGACGGUACCCAAGGAGGAAGCCCCGGCUAACUACGUGCCAGCAGCCGCGGUAAUACGUAGGGGGCAAGCAGUGUCCGGAAUUAUUGGGCGUAAAGGGCGCGUAGGCGGGCUUUUAAGUCCGGUGUGAAAGAUCAGGGCUCAACCCUGAGAGUGCAUCGGAAACUGGAGGCCUUGAGGACAGGAGAGGAAAGUGGAAUUCCACGUGUAGCGGUGAAAUGCGUAGAUAUGUGGAGGAACACCAGUGGCGAAGGCGACUUUCUGGACUGUAACUGACGCUGAGGCGCGAAAGCGUGGGGAGCAAACAGGAUUAGAUACCCUGGUAGUCCACGCCGUAAACGAUGAGUGCUAGGUGUAGAGGGUAUCGACCCCUUCUGUGCCGCAGUUAACACAAUAAGCACUCCCGCCUGGGGAGUACGGCCGCAAGGUUGAAACUUAAAU